ensembl:misc_RNA Metazoa_SRP Metazoan signal recognition particle RNA
CCUGGGCAUGGUGGCGCAUGCCUGUAAUCCCAGCUGCUCGGGAGGCUGAGGCAGAAGAAUCGCUUGAACCCAGGAGGCAGAGGCUACAGUGUGCUGAGAUUGCACCACUGCACUCCAGCCUGGGUGACAGAGCGAGACUCUGUCUCAA